UUGAGUGGAUCCUGAGUACGACGGAGCACGUGAAAUUCCGUCGGAAUCUGGGAGGACCAUCUCCUAAGGCUAAAUACUCUCUAGUGACCGAUAGUGAACCAGUACCGUGAGGGAAAGGUGAAAAGCACCCCGGAAGGGGAGUGAAAUAGAACCUGAAACCGUGUGCUUACAAGUAGUCAGAGCCCGUUAAUGGGUGAUGGCGUGCCUUUUGUAGAAUGAACCGGCGAGUUACGAUUUGAUGCAAGGUUAAGCAGUAAAUGUGGAGCCGUAGCGAAAGCGAGUCUGAAUAGGGCGUUUAGUAUUUGGUCGUAGACCCGAAACCAGGUGAUCUACCCUUGGUCAGGUUGAAGUUCAGGUAACACUGAAUGGAGGACCGAACCGACUUACGUUGAAAAGUGAGCGGAUGAACUGAGGGUAGCGGAGAAAUUCCAAUCGAACCUGGAGAUAGCUGGUUCUCUCCGAAAUAGCUUUAGGGCUAGCCUCAAGUGAUGAUUAUUGGAGGUAGAGCACUGUUUGGACGAGGGGCCCCUCUCGGGUUACCGAAUUCAGACAAACUCCGAAUGCCAAUUAAUUUAACUUGGGAGUC
rnacentral:rRNA from 1 species